CCAAUGCCGCCGUCUCUCAAAAUACAGUUUCUUCCAUCCAUAGAUGAAAUCAUGCCCAAAACUAAUACAAUAGUUGAUGUUUAUGAUUGUUUAUAUAGGCUAACCAGCAAUGCUUCCGAAAGACUGGGUUACUUUCAAGCACUAUUCUCAUGUAUUGAAGGUCUCCGAGCAUCUUUGAAAGUUAAAAUGCUUGUGUGGUCCUGCUACAGAAGCCAAAUCUGUUUGGAUAAACAGAUUUGGUUUUGUUGAGAUGUCUGACAUCGAGGAAGAGCAGUACGGAAACAAUAUCAGCUGUUGUUCUUCCAGGGGACUAGGAUGCUUCACAAGCCCGUUAUGGAGGAGAAUGUAGUAUAGGGGUGCGGUUUUUUAUUCUGUACAUAAUGUAAGCUCCGAGAUAGGUGCUGUUGUCUGGUAGAUCUAUUAUGUAAUGUGUUGUUUUUAAAUAAUUGAGAAUGUGUAACCCAUGAAAUGAAAUGAGUUUUUGAUAAUUUUAAUAUAUAUUUUUGUUAUUUGAAUGCUUAUAA